AGGACGGACGCUGGCGGCGUGCUUAACACAUGCAAGUCGAGCGGUAAGGCCUUUCGGGGUACACGAGCGGCGAACGGGUGAGUAACACGUGGGUGAUCUGCCCUGCACUCUGGGAUAAGCCUGGGAAACUGGGUCUAAUACCGGAUAUGACCUGCUCUCGCAUGGGGGUGGGUGGAAAGAUUUAUCGGUGCAGGAUGGGCCCGCGGCCUAUCAGCUUGUUGGUGGGGUAAUGGCCUACCAAGGCGACGACGGGUAGCCGACCUGAGAGGGUGACCGGCCACACUGGGACUGAGACACGGCCCAGACUCCUACGGGAGGCAGCAGUGGGAAUAUGCACAAUGGGCGAAAGCCUGAUGCAGCGACGCCGCGUGAGGAUGAAGGCCUUCGGGUUGUAAACCUCUUCAGCGAGGACGAAGCGCAAGUGACGGUACCUGCAGAAGAAGCGACCGGACUAACGUACGUGACCGAGACGAAGGCCCGACGGUAAACGUCGUAGGACGGACCGGGCCGU
rnacentral:rRNA from 1 species